ensembl:miRNA Mir6361 microRNA 6361
ACAUGGGGCUGAAUACUUUUGGGUGAGGAGCUCCUCUGACAAGGGCUGUACUUCCCACCACUUCCUGGAGAGCUGCCUGGCUCAGCAGUCACCCUGUGACU